rnacentral:rRNA from 1 species
GACGAACGCUGGCGGCGUGCUUAACACAUGCAAGUCGAGCGGAGCGGCGAACGGGCGAGUAACGCGUGAGUAACUGCCCCCCUCCCCUGGAUAACAGUUGAAAACGGAUGCAAAUACCGGAUAGUGGGGUAUGACUCGGGUCCGAUCAGCUUGUUGGGGGGGUAGGGGCCUACCAAGGUGACGACGGGUAGCCGGCCUGAGAGGGCGACAGGCCACAUUGGGCUGAGGUAGCGGCCAAAGUGCUACGGGAGGCAGCAGUGGGGAAUAGUGCACGAUGGGGGAAACCCUGAUGCAGCAAGGCGCGUGCUGGAUGACGGCCUUCGGGGUGUAAACCGCUUUUAGCGAUAACGCGGUAGUGGCAGAAGAAGCACCGGCUAACUACGUGCCAGCCGCCGCGGUAAUAC